UACGAAGGGUGCAAGCGUUGUUCGGAAUUAUUGGGCGUAAAGGGUAGGUAGGUGGUUGCGUAUGUCUGGGGUGAAAUCCCUGAGCUUAACUCAGGACGUGCCUUGGAAACGGCGUAACUAGAGUACUAGAGAGGUUCGUGGAAUUCCUGGUGUAGCGGUGAAAUGCGUAGAGAUCAGGAGGAACAUCAGAGGCGAAGGCGACGAACUGGAUAGUAACUGACACUCAACUACGAAAGCGUGGGGAGCAAACAGG
rnacentral:rRNA from 1 species